rnacentral:ncRNA from 2 species
AAGAAGAUUGCGGGAGAGUGCAGAAGCUACUGCCACCGAAGGUAUAAGUUGUAAAAUUUGCUGAUUUUGCAGUGAACAUCUCAGGUAAAUGGACCGCAAUUGGAUG